rnacentral:lncRNA from 1 species
UUUCAAUUGCAUCGGCUGCUCUACUGAUCUGAAAGUCUUGCUUUCCUUUGGUUAGGGAAAACCUAACACUGCCUAAAUAAUUAAGCAAAUGAUAUACCCUUAAAGAAAUGAGAAAAUACUGUUUGUUAGAGACAACUCCUUUAAAAUCACCACCUGAAACCACAGUCGCGUGUGUGUAAGGCUCACAGCAGUCGUCAGUGGCAUGAUGGUCAACACAGCAGUGGUUUUCCUGAAUUCCUCAAAGGAAAACAAGAGUAGGAGUGGAGCAGUUGUGCGAAGUAGUAGCAAUAUAUAUCCAGCAAAACAGAGAUUUCCCUAAACUGUUGUGGAGAAAUGUCUCAACUUUGUUACAUUGUUAGGUUUCUCCAGUACAAAGGAAGCGAUACUCUGAGGUCAAUUGGGUAGCUUGGGUGGUGUAAUCACUCCUGAACUUCCUCUUCUGGGCAUAUCACUUGUUAGAGACAGACUAGCUGUUCCGCAGAGUCAAAAGAGAGUCAUAUCUUUCUUCCUGGAGGGUAUAUGGGUUAGGGGGAGGCGAGAGAGGAAGGAAGGCAGGGGAAACAACUGGCCUCUUCAUUCCUUUUCUUUAUUCGUGUUUUCAAUGGGGCUAUAAAUGUCAGUUCCUUCCUAAUGGAUCUGGAGAUUGAAGCACUCCUGCUACUGAAAAGGUUGAUAUGGCUCGAGCAGCAAUCUGCAUCCACUGGCCCCUCGUUACUUCUCUCCAAAAUCUGGCUCCCCAAAGGGCAUAGGAAGAGUCAGUAUCUCUGAAGGAGAUCUACUAAAGCCAACACCAAAGAAAGAGACUUUGAGAGCCAGUAGGAUACGCUAAGCAGAAUGAUUUGAAUCUUAUGCCACUCCAUGGGCUGAGUGGAUUGAAGGAGGCUGCUGGGCUUCAUACCUCUAAAUUACUGCUUGAAGGUAAGUGCUCAUGUCAUGAACAUGUGUUCAAGAGCUGAGCAAGAGGCGUUGCUUUCCAGCAAAGGUCAACAGGAGGAGGGAAGUGACUCCACCUAGAAGUAAGAGAGUGCCUGAACUUUGACCUUUGCAUGUAAGGC